CCUACGGGGCGCAGCAGGCGCGAAACCUACACAAUGCGCGAAACCGUGAUAGGGUUACCCCAAGUGCCGCCCGUAAAGGAAGGCUUUUCCUUGGUCUAAAAACCUAGAGGAAUAAAGGGUGGGCAAGACUGGUGUCAGCCGCCGCGGUAA
rnacentral:rRNA from 1 species